rnacentral:misc_RNA from 1 species
GUUGAAGAACGCAGCGAAAUGCGAUACUUGGUGUGAAUUGCAGAAUCCCGUGAACCAUCGAGUCUUUGAACGCAAGUUGCGCCCGAAGCCAUUAGGCCGAGGGCACGCCUGCCUGGGCGUCACACGUCGUUGCCCCCCCCAUCUACUCCUUCGGGAUUGCGGGGGGCGGAUGAUGGCCUCCCGUGCGCCUCGCCGCGCGGUUGGCAUAAAUGCCAAGUCCUCGGCGACGCACGCCACGACAAUCGGUGGUUGCGAAACCGCGGUUGCCCGUCGUGUGCGGUCGUCGCGCAUCGAGGGCUCGAAAAAAUUGCCGAGUUCCGGCUCGGCUUUCAACGCGACCCCAGGUCAGGCGGGGUUACCCGCUGAAUUUAAGCAUAUCAAUAAGCGGAGGA